rnacentral:rRNA from 1 species
CAUGGCUGUCGUCAGCUCGUGUCGUGAGAUGUUGGGUUAAGUCCCGCAACGAGCGCAACCCUUAUCCCUAGUUGCCAUCAGGUAAAGCCUGGGAACUCUGGGGAGGACUGCCGGUGGAUAAACCGGAGGAAGGCGGGGAUGACGUCAAGUCCUCAUGGCCCUUACAUCCCGGGCUACACACGUGCUACAAUGGCAGGUACAGAGGGCUGCGAAGCCGCGAGGUGGAGCGAAUCCCAGAAAAAUCGCUCUCAGUUCGGAUUGGAGUCUGAAACCCGACUCCAUGAAGGUGGAAUCGCUAGUAAUCGCGCAUCAGCAUGGCGCGGUGAAUACGUUCCCGGGCCUU